rnacentral:pre_miRNA from 1 species
CAACUACUCCCUCUGUCCCAAAUUUCUUGUCUUAGAUUUGUCUAGAUACAGAUGUAUCUAAUACUAAAAUGUGACUUGAUACAUCCGUAUCUAGACAAAUUAAGACAAGAAUUUUGGGACGGAGGGAGUACUUU